ACGUAGGAGGCAAGCGUUAUCCGGAGUCACUGGGCGUAAAGGGCGUGCAGGCGGUUGGCUAAGUUCGUUGUGAAAGCGCCCGGCUCAACUGGGCGAGGCCGUGUGAGACUGAAAAACUGGAGAGAGGUAGAGGCGAAUGGAAUUCCGGGUGGAGUGGUGAAAUGCGUAGAGAUGCGGAGGAACACCGAUGGCGAAGGCAGCCUCCUGGGAUGACACUGACGCUCAUGCACGAAAGCGUGGGGAGCAAACAG
rnacentral:rRNA from 1 species